AAAGAGAGAUUUUAAUCCACCCCUAACUCCCAAAGCUAGGAUCUAAUACUAUUUUCUGUUAACAG
rnacentral:tRNA from 1 species